AACGAACGCUGGCGGCAUGCCUAACACAUGCAAGUCGAACGAAGGCUUCGGCCUUUGUGGCGCACGGGUGCGUAACGCGUGGGAAUCUGCCCUUUGGUUCGGAAUAACAGCUGGAAACGGCUGCUAAUACCGGAUGAUGACGAAAGUCCAAAGAUUUAUCGCCAGAGGAUGAGCCCGCGUUGGAUUAGGUAGUUGGUGGGGUAAUGGCCUACCAAGCCGACGAUCCAUAGCUGGUCUGAGAGGAUGAUCAGCCACACUGGGACUGAGACACGGCCCAGACUCCUACGGGAGGGAGCAGUGGGGAAUAUUGGACAAUGGGGGCAAGCCUGAUCCAGCAAUGCCGGGUGAGUGAUGAAGGCCGUAGGGUAGUAAAGCUCUUUUACCCGGGAAGAUAAUGACUGUACCGGGAGAAUAAGCCCCGGCUAACUCCGUG
rnacentral:rRNA from 1 species